rnacentral:rRNA from 1 species
UUAGAGUUUGAUCCUGGCUCAGGAUCUUCGCUGGCGGUAUGCUUAACACAUGCAAGUCGAACGGUGUCUUCGGACAUAGUGGCGGACGGGUGAGUAACGCGUGAGAAUCUAGCUUCAGGUCUGGGACAACCACUGGAAACGGUGGCUAAUACCGGAUGUGCCGGAAGGUGAAAGGCUUGCUGCCUGAAGAUGAGCUCGCGUCCGAUUAGCUAGUAGGUGGGGUAAGAGCCUACCUAGGCGACGAUCGGUAGCUGGUCUGAGAGGAUGACCAGCCACACUGGGACUGAGACACGGCCCAGACUCCUACGGGAGGCAGCAGUGGGGAAUUUUCCGCAAUGGGCGAAAGCCUGACGGAGCAAUACCGCGUGAGGGAGGAAGGCUCUUGGGUUGUAAACCUCUUUUCUCAGGGAAGAACACAAUGACGGUACCUGAGGAAUCAGCAUCGGCUAACUCCGUGCCAGCAGCCGCGGUAAUACGGAGGAUGCAAGCGUUAUCCGGAAUGAUUGGGCGUAAAGCGUCCGCAGGUGGCUGUGUAAGUCUGCUGUCAAAGAGCAAAGCUCAACUUUGUAAAGGCAGUGGAAACUACACGGCUAGAGUGCGUUCGGGGCAGAGGGAAUUCCUGGUGUAGCGGUGAAAUGCGUAGAGAUCAGGAAGAACACCGGUGGCGAAGGCGCUCUGCUAGGCCGCAACUGACACUGAGGGACGAAAGCUAGGGGAGCGAAUGGGAUUAGAUACCCCAGUAGUCCUAGCUGUAAACGAUGGA